GGGUGUAUUGCUCAGUGGUAAAACAUUCGACUGCAGAUCGAGAGGUCCCCGAUUCAAACUCGGGUGUUCCCU
rnacentral:tRNA from 1 species